rnacentral:rRNA from 1 species
GAUGAACGCUGGCGGCGUGCCUAAUACAUGCAAGUCGAGCGAACAGAUGAGGAGCUUGCUCCUCUGACGUUAGCGGCGGACGGGUGAGUAACACGUGGAUAACCUACCUAUAAGACUGGGAUAACUUCGGGAAACCGGAGCUAAUACCGGAUAAUAUAUUGAACCGCAUGGUUCAAUAGUGAAAGACGGUUUUGCUGUCACUUAUAGAUGGAUCCGCGCCGCAUUAGCUAGUUGGUAAGGUAACGGCUUACCAAGGCAACGAUGCGUAGCCGACCUGAGAGGGUGAUCGGCCACCCUGGAGCUGAGACACGGUCCAGGCUCCUACGGGAGGCAGCAGUAGGGAAUCUUCCGCAAUGGGCGAAAGCCUGACGGAGCAACGCCGCGUGAGUGAUGAAGGUCUUCGGAUCGUAAAACUCUGUUAUUAGGGAAGAACAAAUGUGUAAGUAACUAUGCACGUCUUGACGGUACCUAAUCAGAAAGCCACGGCUAACUACGUG